rnacentral:siRNA from 1 species
CGGUCCAGAACCUCCUGGUAUUCA